rnacentral:rRNA from 1 species
UACAGAGGUCCCAAGCGUUGUUCGGAUUUACUGGGCGUAAAGGGUGCGUAGGUGGUUGGGUAAGUCUGAUGUGAAAUCUCCGGGCUCAACCCGGAAAUGGCAUUGGAUACUAUUCGACUAGAGGGUUGGAGGGGGGACUGGAAUACCUGGUGUAGCAGUGAAAUGCGUAGAUAUCAAGUGGAACACCAGUGGCGAAGGCGAGUCCCUGGACAACUCCUGACACUGAGGCACGAAAGCUAGGGGAGCAAACAGG